rnacentral:lncRNA from 1 species
AUGCAACGCCUCUCUCUUCUCUCUCGGCUGUCGUUCUUUACCCCCUUUAUGCGAGUUUGCACCGAAGCCUCCUUUGGGCGGCGGCCCCUCUUUCUUCCUGUCUGGGAAUCGUGCCGGCCAACGGUGGCCGGCCUAGUAUUUUAUAGUGUGGGCCUUUUUGGCGGUGGCUUUUUCUGUCUUUUCUUUGGUCUUUGCUGCCUCUCGGCCUACGUGGCCGAGUUUCCCCCGAUGCACCGCCUCUCUCUUCUCUCUCGGCUGUCGUUCUUUACCCCUUUAUGCGAGUUUGCACCGAAGCCUCCUUUGGGGCGGCGGCCCCUCUUUCUUCCUGUCUGGGAAUCGUGCCGGCCAACGGUGGCCGGCCUAGUAUUUUAUAGUGUGGGCCUUUUUGGCGGUGGCUUUUUCUGUCUUUUCUUUGGUCUUUGCUGCCUCUCGGCCUACGUGGCCGAGUUUCCCCGAUGUACCGCCUCUCUCUUCUCUCGCCGGCUGUCGUUCUUUAGCCCUUUAUGCUAUUUUGCACAGAAGCCUCCUUUGGGGCGGUGUCCUCUGGUUUUUUUUCUCUCUCUCUCUCUCUCUCAGGGAUGCGUGCCGGCAAACAGUGGCCGGCCCGGCUUAAUGUAUGGGCCUUGUCGCCUGUGGCUUUUUUCUUUCUUUUCUUUUCUUUUCUUUUCUUUUUGCUGCCUCUCGGCCUACGUGGUCGGGUUUCCCACGAUGCACCGCCUCUCUCUUCUCUCGCCGGCUGUCGUUCUUUACCCCUUUAUGCGAUUUUGCACAGAAGCCUCCUUUGGGGCGGCGGCCCCUCUUUCUUCCUCACAGGGAAGCGUGCCGGCCAACGGUCGCACGCCUAGUAUUUCAACGUGUGGGCCUUGUCGUCCUACGUGGUCGACGUGUUUCCCACGAUGCACCGCCUCUGUCUUCUCUCGCGGCUGUCGUUCUUUACCCCUUGGUGCAAUCUUGCACAGAACCCUUCUUUGGGGCGGCGGCCUCUAUUUCUUCCAGUCAGGGAAGCUUGCCGGCCAACGAUGGCCGGCCUAG